rnacentral:rRNA from 1 species
AGAGUUUGAUCAUGGCUCAGAACGAACGCUGGCGGCAUGCCUAACACAUGCAAGUCGAACGCGUGGCUUCGGCCACGAGUGGCGCACGGGUGAGUAACGCGUGGGAACCUGCCCAUGGGUACGGAACAACCGCGGGAAACUGCGGCUAAUACCGUAUAAGCCCCGAGGGGUAAGAGCCUUGGGGGAAAGAUUGAUCGCCGAUGGAGGGGCCCGCGUCGGAUUAGGUAGUUGGUGGGGUAACGGCCUACCAAGCCGACGAUCCGUAGCUGGUCUGAGAGGAUGAUCAGCCACACUGGGACUGAGACACGGCCCAGACUCCUACGGGAGGCAACAGUGGGGAAUAUUGGACAAUGGGCGCAAGCCUGAUCCAGCAAUGCCGCGUGAGUGAAGAAGGCCUUAGGGUUGUAAAGCUCUUUCGGCGGGGACGAUGAUGACGGUACCCGCAGAAGAAGCCCCGGCUAACUCCGUGCCAGCAGCCGCGGUAAUACGGAGGGGGCUAGCGUUGUUCGGAAUUACUGGGCGUAAAGGGCGCGUAGGCGGUUCAUCAAGUCGGGCGUGAAAGGCCUGGGCUCAACCCGGGAAUGGCGCUCGAGACUGGUGGGCUUGGAGUCCGGGAGAGGAUGGUGGAAUUCCCAGUGUAGAGGUGAAAUUCGUAGAUAUUGGGAAGAACCCGGUGGCGAAGGCGGCCAUCUGGACCGGUACUGACGCUGAGGCGCGAAAGCGUGGGGAGCAAACAGGAUUAGAUACCCUAGUAGUCC